UUACCAAAUCUUGACAUCCUUUGACAACUCUAGAGAUAGAGCCUUCCCCUUCGGGGGACAAAGUGACAGGUGGUGCAUGGUUGUCGUCAGCUCGUGUCGUGAGAUGUUGGGUUAAGUCCCGCAACGAGCGCAACCCUUAAGCUUAGUUGCCAUCAUUAAGUUGGGCACUCUAAGUUGACUGCCGGUGACAAACCGGAGGAAGGUGGGGAUGACGUCAAAUCAUCAUGCCCCUUAUGAUUUGGGCUACACACGUGCUACAAUGGACAAUACAAAGGGCAGCGAAACCGCGAGGUCAAGCAAAUCCCAUAAAGUUGUUCUCAGUUCGGAUUGUAGUCUGCAACUCGACUACAUGAAGCUGGAAUCGCUAGUAAUCGUAGAUCAGCAUGCUACGGUGAAUACGUUCCCGGGUCUUGUACACACCGCCCGUCACACCACGAGAGUUUGUAACACCCGAAGCCGGUGGAAGUAACC
rnacentral:rRNA from 1 species